rnacentral:sRNA from 1 species
CGCGACGUCGAAGCCCAUUUGGAUCGCGG